AGGGAACGCUGGCGGUAGGCCUAACACAUGCAAGUCGAACGGCAGCACAGUAAGAGCUUGCUCUUACGGGUGGCGAGUGGCGGACGGGUGCGGAAUACAUCGGAAUCUACUUUUUCGUGGGGGCUAACGUAGGGAAACUUACGCUAAUACCGCAUACGACCUACGGGUGAAAGCAGGGGAUCUUCGGACCUUUCGCGAUUGAAUGAGCCGAUGUCGGAUUAGCUAGUUGGCUGGGUAAAGGCCCACCAAGGCGACGAUCCGUAGCUGGUCUGAGAGGAUGUUCAGCCACACUGGAACUGAGAAACGGUCGAGACUCCGACGGGAGGCAGCAGUGGGGAAUAUUGGACAAUGGGCGCAAGCCUGAUACAGCCAUACCGCGUGGGUGAAGAAGGCGUUCGGGUUGUAAAGCCCUUUUGUUGGGAAAGAAAAGCAGCAGGUUAAUACCCCGCUGUUAUGACGGUACCCAAAGAAUAAGCACCGGCUAACUCCGUG
rnacentral:rRNA from 1 species